AUUGAACGCUGGCGGCAGGCCGAACACAUGCAAGUCGAGCGAGCGGCGGACGGGUGAGUAAUGUAUGGGGACUGCCCGAUAGAGGGGGAUAACUACUGGAAACGGUAGCUAAUACCGCAUACUAUCGGAUAACCCAUAUGGGAUUAGCUAGUAGGUGAGGUAAUGGCUCACCAAGGCGACGAUCCCUAGCUGGUCUGAGAGGAUGAUCAGCCACACUGGGACUGAGACACGGCCCAGACUCCUACGGAGGCAGCAGUAGGGAAUAUUGCACAAUGGGCGCAAGCCUGAUGCAGCAAUGCCGCGUGAAUGAAGAAGGCCCUAGGGUUGUAAAGUUCUUUCAGUCGGGAGGCGUUACCGACAGAAGAAGCACCGGCUAACUCCGUGCCAGCAGCCGCGGUAAUUC
rnacentral:rRNA from 1 species